rnacentral:misc_RNA from 1 species
GAUGAAGAACGCAGCGAAAUGCGAUAAGUAAUGUGAAUUGCAGAAUUCAGUGAAUCAUCGAAUCUUUGAACACACAUUGCGCCCGCCAGUAUUCUGGCGGGCAUGCCUGUUCGAGCGUCAUUUCAACCAUCAAGCCCCCGGGCUUGUGUUGGGGACCUGCGGCUGCCGCAGGCCCUGAAAAGCAGUGGCGGGCUCGCUGUCACACCGAGCGUAGUAGAUUUUAUCUCGCUCUGGGCGUGCUGCGGGUUCCGGCCGUUAAACCACCCUUUUAACCCAAGGUUGACCUCGGAUCAGGUAGGAAGACCCGCUGAACUUAAGCAUAUCAAUAAGCGGAGGA